AAUCCAUCUACAUUGCUUCCCCUGGAUUUAAAAGAGGGGAGUGGGGAUAGUGUGAAUGGUACUUGUACUUCUGAUCUUUUUGUAAAUUCACUUUCACCAGAUGAGUUAGCUGACGCCCAGGUACCCCAUGAUUGUGCAGCACUAAUGGCACAAGAGACAGCAGGUUUUUUGCAUGUAAUUGAUUCUCCAUUAUCUAAUGCAGAUUUUGAGUUUUUUGUAGAUGGUUCCAGAUAUGCUGAUGAGAAGGGUAAUUUCCACACUGGAUAUGCUGUAGUCUCUGCACAUGAGGAAAUAAAAGCUGAACCACUCGCUCCUCACUGCUCUGCACAGGCGGCUGAGCUGAAGGCACUCGCUGAAGCAUGUAAAAUGGCUUCUGGUAAGACUGCUAAUAUUUAUACAGACUCUCGCUAUGCUUUUGGUAUAGCCCAUGAUUUUGGCCCUAUAUGGCGGGCUCGUGAUUUUCUCACCUCAGCAGGAACUCCAAUCAAGAAUUCUGAAGCUGUGAGUGCACUUAUGGACGCUAUCCUGCUACCCACUCAAGUAGGCAUCAUCAAGGUGGCAGCUCACGUGAAGAUCACAGAUGAAAUCUCAAAAGGAAACCACAAAGCAGACGAAGCUGCCAAGCAAGCAGCAAUCCAAGUUCAUCCCUCUACAGGUAAUACCUUCCUACAAGUUGUUCUUACAGAUGACGCCGUUGACUACAAUAUACUGUUGAGCUUACAAAGACAGGCAAGCAAGGAAGAACAUGACCUCUGGAGGAAACAAGAUGCAGAACCUGAUGAUGACAGAAUGUGGAGGAAAGGUAAAAGACUGUGUUUACCACGAGUGUUGUACCCCAUGAUGGCCCAGAUUUCCCAUGGACCUACACAUCUAUCCAAGAUGCACAUGAACCGCAUAGUAAACACCCAUUGGGUAGCACCCGGAUUGCAUAUUUGUGCUAGAAACAAUCCAGGACAAGCUGUGAAAACACCAAGUAAGCACACACCAAGGCCACUUUACCCGUUUCAAAGACUGCAGAUAGACUAUAUUCAACUACCUAAGGUAGGAGUGUAUGAAUAUGUGUUGGUGUACAUUGAUCUCUUUUCAGGUUGGCCUGAGGCCUACCCAGUGUCGAAAGCCACAACAAAGGUCACAGCAAGUAAGCUUCUGAAGGAACUGGUCUGUAGAUUUGGAGUACCUGAAGUGAUUGAAAGUGACAGAGGUAGCCAUUUCACUGGGGAAAUAAUGCAAGAAAUUAUGAAAGCCUUAGGGAUCAGUCAGGCCUUCCACACCCCCUAUCACCCCCAGAGUAGUGGGAAAGUAGAAAGGGCAAAUGGCACCUUAAAGAACAAGAUUGCAAAAGCCAUGCAAGACACAGGGAAGCCCUGGACUGAAUGCCUUCCCCUAGCACUCUUUUCUAUGAGAUUCACCCCCAAUUCCAGACAUGGCUUAUCCCCUUUUGAGAUCCUGUUUGGAUGUGCCCCAAAGACAGGCCUCUAUUUUCCACAAACCCUCCAGAUGCAGCAUGGUAGUAUGACUGCCUAUGUUCAAGCCCUACACCAAAGAUUAGGCAGGGUGCAUAAACAAGUCUUUGAUUCUAUUCCAGAUCCAGACUCUGAUUCUGCAACUCACAAACUGCAAUCUGGUGAUUGGCUGGUGAUAAAGAGGCAUGUGAGGAAAGGACUUGAACCACGCUUUGACGGUCCAUUCCAAGUGCUCUUGACUACGGCUACCUCAGUGAAACUAGAAGGAAAAGCCACGUGGAUACACACCAGUCACUGUAAACAAGUCACUCCGACCGAUCCACCGACAUAAAGCUGAUCUUAUCCUUUACCAUUGUAUGCUCUGUUCAGAUAUGCUACUCUGACUUGAGACCAGAAGAUAAUAAUGCAUAGCAGGGACAUAUAUAAUUGCAGAUAACAAAGGCUUUUAAUUUAACCUCCUUUUGCCUCAACCCUUUCCUUAGUACGGAAAACGUCAUAGAAUCUUGUCUUAUAGCUGUUCCUACCCCCAUCUCACUCUUGAGGAAGUACCUACAUACCCAUAGAUCCCAUAAAUAUCUACCCGAGUAAUUAAUGCUGUAGCCUGUUCCCUUGCAAAAGGUUUAAAUGUCACUUCACAGGCCCUAGAAGAGCUACUUAUGGACAGCCAGGCAAAUAAGAAGGCAAUCCUUGAGCAUAGAGCAGCCAUUGACUACUUACUAAUAAAACAUGACUUAGGCUGUGAAGCUAUUGAAGGUAUGUGCUGUUUUAACCUAUCUGACCAUGGCACUAUGAUCCAUAAACAUAUAAAAUAUUUACAUGACUUAGUACAGGUUAUCAAACAGGAUACUGGCUUCUUUGGGGAUUGGACAUUUGGGCUAGGAACAUGGUUAACUUUACUAAUUAAGAACAUUUUGUACUUUUUGCUAUUAGCUGUAUUUGUCAUUAUGGCUAUUUUUCUAACCUUUAGAUUUUUUUCAUGUCUACUAACCUCUCUAUGUAAGCAAAGCAAACCUACUGUUGGUCGUACCUUAACUUACAUUCCAGCUCCGACUUCGAAAAGGUUUUAUGAUGUUACCUCGCCUAACAAAUAAAGGAACUCUCCUCUGCUGAUUCUGGUAGUCUCUCAGUCCAAGGGAACCGUGGUGAAGCAAUAAAUGAAAGUCCCACAGGCUUUGGCUAGCAGGCCUGGAUAUACCUUGGACAUUUGGGUGACCCUUGGAUCAAAAGAGGGGAUUGUGAUAGAAUUUAUCUUGAUUCCAAGGCUCAAGCUUAUAGGUGUCAUAUAAUGAUAUCCUAUAUUAAAACUGGCUAACUUGGACUCAGGAAAUGCUUGAAGCUUAAACAACACUUAAGACCAUAUAUGUCUAAGGUCCGGGAGCAGAGAGCCCCCACCUAAGAUGUCUCUGCUCUAAUCAUUUUGUUCUCUCUUGCCUUGAAACUUAUUUGUUAUGUGUACAUGACGCUCAUCCCUAUGUCUUAUCUGUACUCUCUUCCUAUUACUGUUCUAAGAGUAUUUGCACGUAAGCACUUACUUUUUAAUGUAUAAAACCCAGCUGAUGAAUAAAACAUCAGAGGCUUAUUUUGAAUACCAACAGGUGUCUGGUGUCUAAUUCUCGCUUCUCCAAGUGCACUUGAAACAACAAUUUGGGCUUCCUCUGAAUAUAACAAAGAUCAACAUUUCUGAUCCACAACACUAUGUAG